rnacentral:rRNA from 1 species
AUGCAUGGUUUUGCGGCCCGUCUCACGGACGGCGAGGCCCAGCGCAUGGCGACCGCCCCCGACGUGUCCCGCGUGUACAAGGACAGGGUGUACCACACCCAGGCCACGAGGUCGCCGUGGUUCAUGGGCCUCCACGACGACUUCGGCGCGUGGCCGGACGCGGAGUUCGGCGACGGCGUCAUCAUCGGCUUCGUCGACACCGGCAUCUGGCCGGAGCGCGCCAGCUUCAACGACGCCGGGCUCGGCCCCGUCAGGUCCACCUGGAGGGGCAAGUGCGUGGACGCCCUGGGAUUCAACGCCAGCUUGUGCAACAACAAGCUCGUCGGCGCCAAGUCCUUCGUCACAGUCGAGCUAGAUGCCGGUGGCCUCCUAACCGAUUCGAAUCCGAGGGACAUCGCUGGGCACGGAACGCACGUGGCGUCAACGGCUGCAGGCGCCGAGGUCCCCUCGGCCGAUCUCUUCAAGUUCGCGGGCGGGAGAGCGAGCGGCGUGGCGCGCAUGGCAAGGAUCGCCAUGUACAGGGCGUGCAACAUAGGAUGCUUUGCCUCAGACGUUGUCGCGGCGAUCGACGCCGCGGUGACCGACGGCGUGGACCUCCUCUCCAUGUCCAUCGCAUACCCCGCGGAACCCUUCUACGACGACCUCCUCUCCGUCGCCACGUUCGGCGCUGAGCAGAGAGGCGUCUUCGUCGUCCUGGCGGGCGGCAACAAAGGCCCGACAGCGUCAACCAUAUCCAACGUGGCCCCGUGGAUGACCACCGUCGGCGCCGCCACCACGGACCGGGUGUUCCCGGCGACACUCCGGCUCGGCAACGGGGUGGUGCUCACCGGGCAGUCCCUGUACAACAUCCCGUUCUCCCAGUCCCAGGGCGCGGGCAUGAUCCCGCUAGUGCGCACCUCCUGCGGAGAGUAUGAUCUGAAGCCCGACAAGGUCAUGGGCAAGGUCGUGGUGUGCUCCCAGGAUGCAGGAGCUUCGGCUGGCUUUGACGUGGAGAGAGCCGGCGGAGCCGGGAUAGUUUCCGUCCAAAGUACGGAACGGUUCUGGGACACGGUAAUGGCCCAACCCUUCCCCCUUCCCGGUCUCCUGCUCAGCUCCGCCGGCGGCAAGAAGCUGGCCGAUUACAUGUCGUCCGUAGCGUACCCGGUGGCGUCCUUCAACUUCACCUGCGACACGGUCACCGGCGAGAACCGGGCGCCGAUGGUGGCGGGCUUCUCUUCGCGGGGCCCAAACCCGAUUGUCCCCGAGAUCCUGAAGCCGGACGUCAUCGCGCCGGGAGUGAACAUCCUCGCCGCCUGGUCAGGUGCUGCCCAGCCAUCGGACAGCGACAUGGACCCGCGGAGAGUGGAGUACAACAUCAUCUCGGGGACGUCGAUGGCGUGCCCGCACGUCGCCGGCGUCGCGGCCCUGAUCAAGAAGCGACACGGCGACUGGACGCCGGCCAUGAUCCGUUCGGCGCUGAUGACGACCGCCGGCCCGCUCGACAAGAACGGCAGGGACAUCGUGGACAGCGGCAGUGCCGUCGGCGCCGCCGCGACGCCUAUGGAGGCGGGGGCCGGGCUGGUGCUCCCGCGGCUCGCCAUGGACCCGGGCCUGGUGUACGACGCCGGCACGCAGGACUACGUCGACUUCCUCUGCACCCUCAACUACGGUGGAGCAGAUGCGGCAGUUCGUGCCGGGGCUGAGCAAGUGCGCGAGGACGAUCCCCGGGGGCGUGGCCAACCUUAA